AUGCAAGUCGAACGGGAAUCUUCGGAUUCUAGUGGCGGACGGGUGAGUAACGCGUAAGAAUCUAACUUCAGGACGGGGACAACAGUUGGAAACGACUGCUAAUACCCGAUGUGCCGAAAGGUGAAACCUAAUUGGCCUGAAGAAGAGCUUGCGUCUGAUUAGCUAGUUGGUGGGGUAAGAGCCUACCAAGGCGACGAUCAGUAGCUGGUCUGAGAGGAUGAGCAGCCACACUGGGACUGAGACACGGCCCAGACUCCUACGGGAGGCAGCAGUGGGGAAUUUUCCGCAAUGGGCGAAAGCCUGACGGAGCAACGCCGCGUGAGGGAGGAAGGUCUUUGGAUUGUAAACCUCUUUUCUCAAGGAAGAAGUUCUGACGGUACUUGAGGAAUCAGCCUCGGCUAACUCCGUGCCAGCAGCCGCGGUAAUACGGGGGAGGCAAGCGUUAUCCGGAAUUAUUGGGCGUAAAGCGUCCGCAGGUGGUCAGCCAAGUCUGCCGUCAAAUCAGGUUGCUUAACGACCUAAAGGCGGUGGAAACUGGCAGACUAGAGAGCAGUAGGGGUAGCAGGAAUUCCCAGUGUAGCGGUGAAAUGCGUAGAGAUUGGGAAGAACAUCGGUGGCGAAAGCGUGCUACUGGGCUGUAUCUGACACUCAGGGACGAAAGCUAGGUGAGCGAAAGGUAUUAGAUACCCCUGUAGUCCUAGCCGUAAACGAUGGAUACUAGGCGUGGCUUG
rnacentral:rRNA from 1 species